GUGUCAGCAGCCGCGGUAAUACGUAGGGUCCAAGCGUUAUCCGGAAUCACUGGGCGUAAAGCGUGCGUAGGUGGUUUGUUAAGUGAGAUGUUAAACCGUGUGGCUCAACCAUACGUUGUAUCUCAUACUGGCAAACUAGAGGACGGCAGAGGCAAGUGGAAUUUGUAGUGUAGCAGUGAAAUGCGUAGAUAUUACAAGGAACACCAGUGGCGAAGGCGACUUUCUGGUCUGUAACUGACACUGAGGCGCGAAAGCGUGGGGAGCAAACAGGAUUAGAUACCCCAGUAGUCC
rnacentral:rRNA from 1 species